rnacentral:rRNA from 1 species
CCUACGGGUGGCAGCAGUGAGGAAUAUUGGUCAAUGGGAGAGAUCCUGAACCAGCCAAGCCGCGUGAGGGAAGACGGCCCUAUGGGUUGUAAACCCUUUCUGCCGGAGAACAAAACCCGGGACGUGUCCCGGACUGCGUGUAUCCGAAGAAAAAGCACAGGCUAACUCCGUGCCAGUAGCCGCGGUAAUACGGAGGAUGCGAGCGUUAUCCGGAUUUAUUGGGGUUAAAGGGUGCGUAGGCGGUCCGUUAAGUCCGCGGUAAAAUUGCGGGGCUAAACCCCGUCGAGCCGUUGAAACUGGCAGACUUGAGUAGGCGAGAAGUACGCGGAAUGCGCGGUGUAGCGGUGAAAUGCAUAGAUAUCGCGCAGAACUCCGAUUGCGAAGGCAGCGUACCGGCGCCAGACUGACGCUGAGGCACGAAAGCGUGGGGAGCGAACAGGAUUAGAUACCCUAGUAGUC